UACGUAGGAGGCAAGCGUUGUCCGGAAUUACUGGGCGUAAAGCGCGCGUAGGCGGCCUUGCAAGUUAGAGGUGAAAGCCCGGAGCUCAACUCCGGAACUGCCUUUAAAACUGCAUAGCUUGAAUCCGGGAGAGGUGAGUGGAAUUCCGAGUGUAGAGGUGAAAUUCGUAGAUAUUCGGAAGAACACCAGUGGCGAAGGCGGCUCACUGGACCGGUAUUGACGCUGAGGUGCGAAAGCGUGGGGAGCAAACAGG
rnacentral:rRNA from 1 species